GACGAACGCUGGCGGCGUGCUUAACACAUGCAAGUCGAACGGAAAGGCCCUGCUUUUGUGGGGGGCUCGAGUGGCGAACGGGUGAGUAACACGUGAGUAACCUGACCUUGACUGUGGGAUAACGUCAGGAAACUGGGGCUAAUACCGGAUAGGAGCUCCUGCGGCAUGGGGGGGGUUGGAGAGUUUCGGCGGUUGUGGAUGGACUCGCGGCUUAUCAGCUUGUUGGUGGGGUAGUGUCUUACCAAGGCUUUGACGGGUAGCCGGCCUGAGAGGGUGACCGGCCACAUUGGGACUGAGAUGAGGCCCAGAAUCCUACGGGAGGAAGCAGUGGGGAAUAUUGCACAAUGGGCGGAAGCAUGAUGCAGCAACGCCGCGUGCGGGAUGACGGCCGUCGGGUUGUAAACCGCUUUUGCCUGUGAAGAAGAGUGAGUGACGGUAAUGGGUAAAGAAGCACCGGCUAACUACGUG
rnacentral:rRNA from 1 species